UGGUAAUUCUAGAGCUAAUACAUGCUAAAAACCUCGACUUCGGAAGGGGUGUAUUUAUUAGAUAAAAAACCAAUGCCCUUCGGGGCUCCUUGGUGAUUCAUAAUAACUUAACGAAUCGCAUGGCCUUGUGCCGGCGAUGGUUCAUUCAAAUUUCUGCCCUAUCAACUUUCGAUGGUAGGAUAGUGGCCUACCAUGGUUUCAACGGGUAACGGGGAAUUAGGGUUCUAUUCCGGAGAGGGAGCCUGAGAAACGGCUACCACAUCCAAGGAAGGCAGCAGGCGCGCAAAUUACCCAAUCCCGACACGGGGAGGUAGUGACAAUAAAUACUGAUACAGGGCUCUUUUGGGUCUUGUAAUUGGAAUGAGUACAAUUUAAAUCCCUUAACGAGGAACAAUUGGAGGGCAAGUCUGGUGCCAGCAGCCGCGGUAAUUCCAGCUCCAAUAGCGUAUAUUAAAGUUGUUGCAGUUAAAAAGCUCGUAGUUGAACCUUGGGCCUGGUUGGUCGGUCCGCCUCACCGCGUGCACUGAUCCGACCGGGCCUUUCCUUCUGGGGAGCCGCAUGCCCUUCACUGGGUGUGUCGGGGAACCAGGACUUUUACUUUGAAAAAAUUAGAGUGUUCAAAGCAGGCCUAUGGUCGAAUACAUUAGCAUGGAAUAAUAGAAUAGGACGUGUGGUUCUAUUUUGUUGGUUUCUAGGACCGCCGUAAUGAUUAAUAGGGAUAGUCGGGGGCAUCAGUAUUCCGUUGUCAGAGGUGAAAUUCUUGGAUUUACGGAAGACUAACUACUGCGAAAGCAUUUGCCAAGGAUGUUUUCAUUAAUCAGUGAACGAAAGUUAGGGGAUCGAAGACGAUCAGAUACCGUCGUAGUCUUAACCAUAAACUAUGCCGACUAGGGAUCGGGCGAUGUUAUCUUUUUGACUCGCUCGGCACCUUACGAGAAAUCAAAGUUUUUGGGUUCUGGGGGGAGUAUGGUCGCAAGGCUGAAACUUAAAGAAAUUGACGGAAGGGCACCACCAGGAGUGGAGCCUGCGGCUUAAUUUGACUCAACACGGGGAAACUCACCAGGUCCAGACACAAUAAGGAUUGACAGAUUGAGAGCUCUUUCUUGAUUUUGUGGGUGGU
rnacentral:rRNA from 1 species